rnacentral:tRNA from 1 species
GAAAUAGGUAAAUUUUAAGCUUCUAACUUAAAAAAUAGCAUUUAUGUUAAUAUUUCU